GGCCUCUAGCCUGUCCAAGUAUUAGAGGUCCCGCCUGCCCAGUGAAUAUCUUUCAACGGCCGCGGUAUCCUAACCGUGCGAAGGUAGCAUAAUCCUUUGUUCCUUAAAUGCGGACUAGUAUGAACGGCUAACUGAGGGCAUAACUGUCUCCUAUGGCCAACCAAUGAAACUGAUCCCCCAGUACAAAAGCUGGGAUAACCCCAUAAGACGAGAAGACCCUACGGAGCUUUAAACCACCCCACUACAUCACCAAACACUGCCCCACCGGAGUAGCCCCACAACACCCUAAUAGUGGCCGUUUUAAGUUGGGGCGACUGUAGCACAUAAAAAAACUCUUACGACACAGGACUAACCCCCCCAUUCGAGGCCAACAAGCCAAAAAUACCACGCUAAUUGACCCAGUACCACUGAUCAACGAACCAAGUUACCCUAGGGAUAACAGCGCCAUCCUCUUUAAGAGCCCAUAUCGCCAAGAGGGUUUACGACCUCGAUGUUGGAUCAGGACACCCCGGUGGCGCAGCCGCUGCCAAAGGUUCGUUUGUUCAACGACUAAUGUCCU
rnacentral:rRNA from 1 species